rnacentral:lncRNA from 1 species
UGUGGGUUUCAUCGGACCCAUCAUCGAAAGAGGUAAGGGGGCUCUCUCGAUGGUAUCCGGAGGUGGUGGAGGUCCCGACGGUAGCCCUCUAGGAGCGAUCGGCGAGGUGGGAGGCUGCAGUGGUGGUGGGAUGGAGUCUUGGUCGGUGGGUUUCACUGAAGUCGAUGGCACGCGAGUUUCGGCUCCGAGGAAUCAUCAAAGGAGA